rnacentral:rRNA from 1 species
GACGAACGCUGGCGGCGUGCCUAAUACAUGCAAGUAGGACGCAGUUGCGAACGGUUGAGUAACGCGUAGGUAACUACCUAUUAGAGGGGGAUAACUAUUGGAAACUAUAGCUAAUACCGCAUACUAGUAGAUGGACCUGCGUUGUAUUGGCUAGUAAGUAGGGUCAAGGCCUACCUAGGCAACGAUACAUAGCCGACCUGGGAGGGUGAUCGGGCAAAAUGGGAAUGGGAAAAGGCCCAGACUUCUAAGGGAGGGAGGAGUAGGGAAACUUCGGGAAAGGGAGGAAACCUGAACGAGCAAAGCCGGGUGAGUGAAGAAGGGUUUCGGAACGUAAAGCUCUGUUGGUAAGGAAGCGGUACUUAACCAGAAAGGGACGGCUAACUACGUGCCAGCAGCCGCGGUAAUAC